rnacentral:rRNA from 1 species
GAUAAACGCUGGCGGCGCACAUAAGACAUGCAAGUCGAACGGACUUAACCAUUAGUUUACUAUUGGAGCGGUUAGUGGCGGACUGGUGAGUAACACGUAAGCAACCUGCCUAUCAGAGGGGAACAACAGUUAGAAAUGACUGCUAAUACCGCAUAUGCCUAAGUACCACAUGGUACAAUAGGGAAAGGAGCAAUCCGCUGAUAGAUGGGCUUGCGUCUGAUUAGAUAGUUGGUGGGGUAACGGCCCACCAAACCUACGAUGGAUAGGGGUUCUGAGAGGAAGGUCCCCCACAUUGGAACUGAGACACGGUCCAA